AUAUUGGAUAAUGGGGGCAACCAUGAUCAAGCCAUCCCGCGUGCGUGAAGAAGGUCGUCGGAUUGUAAAGAACUUUAUGUUGGGAGGAAGGGAUUUAGGCUAAUACCCUGAAGUUUUGACGUUACCAACAGAAAAUGCACCGGCUAACCCUGUGCCAGCAGACGCCGUAAUACAGAGGGUGCAAGCGUAAUCGGAAUUACUGGUCGUAAAGCGCGCAUAGGUGUUGCAGUAAGAUGGGUGUGAAAUCCCCGGGCUUAACCUAGGAACUGCUUUCAUAACUGCUUAGCUAGAGUACGGUAGAGGGUAGUGGAAUUUCCUGUGUAGCGGUGAAAUGCGUAGAUAUAGGAAGGAACACCAGUGGCGAAGGCGACUACCUGGACUGAUACUGACACUGAGGUGCGAAAGCGUGGGGAGCAAACA
rnacentral:rRNA from 1 species